GGUGGAGAUGCAAGGGUAGAAGAACCUAGGAAAUUUAGCCUUCAAAACCCCCAAGGCAUGAAGUUGCAGAGGUAGAAGAAUCACGAAAAUUUGCCCUUCAAGAACCGCAAGGGUCUUACCUUUUUUCUUCAUUUUCAGCAGAAAAUAAAAGUGCUCAGAAGAG